rnacentral:tRNA from 1 species
GGUUCCAUAGUGGAGCAGUUAGCACAUCUGCUUUACACGCAGAAGUGCUGGGUUCACACCCCAGCGGAGCCA